rnacentral:piRNA from 1 species
GCUUGUCGAGAUAAGGCUUAGAG